AAAGAAGCAAACAAACAAAAAAGAGCCAAACAAAGAUGAUGAGCUUUAUGAGAUUAUAAACGGCAAGGGGGUAAAACAGCACCAGAAUGGGAAUCUAACAUCUGAAAGUCAUUUUCCAAAACUUCAUUCAGCACGGGAACAAUGCCGCAUUCAGGCGUAAUGAGCUGAGAAGGCGUGGUGCGCCAGGUCAAACUGGCGGUCUCUGAGCUCCUCUCAACGGAGUGCUUUGCCAAGAUGACAAGAGGGAAUGAAACAGAAGUUUGAAGAUGCAAAAUAAAAUAAGGCCAAAGACCUAAAGCAUUUUGUUUGAGCAAAGUUGUGCAAAGAACUAGAAGCCAGUCUAGAAGGGGAGUAGAUGAUAUGGACUGCACCCUACAUCGGAGCUCUCCGAAGUUAAAGCGAGCCCAGUUUAGAUUUGUUCCUGCCUUUCAAGAACUGCAGCAGGGUGCAUCUGUGGAGACUUCCUGCGUUCCAUAUUUCAGGACGUUAGAGUGGAUGCUGCAUCAAAAUCCAGCCAAUCGCAUGGUGUGCUCUUGCCCUCCCCAGUUUUCAUUUGUUCCCCCUACCUGAAGCAAGGGUGUGCUGCGUGGGUUAGAUCACCACGCAGCCCCCUCUUAGAUCACUGCUCA
rnacentral:lncRNA from 1 species